rnacentral:lncRNA from 1 species
GGGUAGGGCAAAAUGAAAAAACAGUCUCAUACGGGUGAUAAUGGUCGGGUGCGGGUUAGGAAUUUAAAAUCCACUUGUACCCGAACCCGACCGCAUGUCAGUGUUGUGUGUUUAAAUUAAAACUACUUUUUAGCCUUGCAGCAGUCUGCACUCUACAAUUUGCGCAGAGAGGCAUUUGCUUUCUAUUUUUUUAAUAGCUAAAAAGUAAAAGUAGUCAUUAUUUAAUGCAUUUGUUUUUUGUAAAGAAGUGAUUGCAUGUCUUAAUCAAAGAAAAAGC